rnacentral:rRNA from 1 species
GCACUCUGGGACAAGCCCUGGAAACGGGGUCUAAUACCGGAUACUGACCCGCUUGGGCAUCCAAGCGGUUCGAAAGCUCCGGCGGUGCAGGAUGAGCCCGCGGCCUAUCAGCUUGUUGGUGAGGUAAUGGCUCACCAAGGCGACGACGGGUAGCCGGCCUGAGAGGGCGACCGGCCACACUGGGACUGAGACACGGCCCAGACUCCUACGGGAGGCAGCAGUGGGGAAUAUUGCACAAUGGGCGAAAGCCUGAUGCAGCGACGCCGCGUGAGGGAUGACGGCCUUCGGGUUGUAAACCUCUUUCAGCAGGGAAGAAGCGAAAGUGACGGUACCUGCAGAAGAAGCGCCGGCUAACUACGUGCCAGCAGCCGCGGUAAUACGUAGGGCGCGAGCGUUGUCCGGAAUUAUUGGGCGUAAAGAGCUCGUAGGCGGCUUGUCACGUCGGUUGUGAAAGCCCGGGGCUUAACCCCGGGUCUGCAGUCGAUACGGGCAGGCUAGAGUUCGGUAGGGGAGAUCGGAAUUCCUGGUGUAGCGGUGAAAUGCGCAGAUAUCAGGAGGAACACCGGUGGCGAAGGCGGAUCUCUGGGCCGAUACUGACGCUGAGGAGCGAAAGCGUGGGGAGCGAACAGGAUUAGAUACC